CAGGAUGAACGCUAGCUACAGGCUUAACACAUGCAAGUCGAGGGGCAGCAUUGGAGUAGCAAUACUCAGAUGGCGACCGGCGCACGGGUGAGUAACACGUAUCCAACCUGCCGCUUACUCGGGGAUAGCCUUUCGAAAGAAAGAUUAAUACCCGAUGGUAUAAAGAGUUCGCAUGUUCUCUUUAUUAAAGAAUUUCGGUAAGCGAUGGGGAUGCGUUCCAUUAGAUAGUUGGCGGGGUAACGGCCCACCAAGUCUACGAUGGAUAGGGGUUCUGAGAGGAAGGUCCCCCACAUUGGAACUGAGACACGGUCCAAACUCCUACGGGAGGCAGCAGUGAGGAAUAUUGGUCAAUGGACGCGAGUCUGAACCAGCCAAAGUAGCGUGAAGGAUGACUGCCCUAUGGGUUGUAAACUUCUUUUAUAAGGGAAUAAAGUGAGGGACGUGUCCCUUUUUGUAUGUACCUUAUGAAUAAGGAUCGGCUAACUCCGUGCCAGCCGCCGC
rnacentral:rRNA from 1 species